rnacentral:rRNA from 1 species
UACGAAGGGGGCUAGCGUUGCUCGGAAUUACUGGGCGUAAAGCGCACGUAGGCGGCUUUCUAAGUCGGGGGUGAAAUCCUGGAGCUCAACUCCAGAACUGCCUUCGAUACUGGAGAGCUUGAGUCCGGAAGAGGAGAGUGGAAUUCCUGGUGUAGCGGUGAAAUGCGCAGAUAUCAGGAAGAACACCCGUGGCGAAGGCGGCUUCCUGGACCGACACUGACGCUGAGGCGCGAAAGCUAGGGGAGCAAACGGG